rnacentral:misc_RNA from 1 species
UUUCCGUAGGUGAACCUGCGGAAGGAUCAUUAUUGAAUAAACAGUGUGGGUUGUUUCUGGCCUUCUGGCAUGUUCACGCCUGCCAUAUGUUUCAUUCCCUUCUUUCCACCUGUGCACUAUGUGUAGGCUAUGUAUGCUGUAUUGUCAGGCACUUCAUAAGGCUUGGUUUAGAGAGGAUGCUUGUCUUUAUGAGACAGGCUCAUCUUGGGCGUACAGGUCUAUGUUUUACACCAACACCAAGUGAAUGUCUUAGAAUGUAUUUUUUCAGGCUCUUGCUAGCCUUUAAAUCAUAUACAACUUUCAACAACGGAUCUCUUGGCUCUC